GCUAGGACAGCUCAGUUGGUAGAUCAUGAGACUCUUCAUCUCAGGGUCAUGGGUUCGAGCCCCUCAUUAGGCA